rnacentral:tRNA from 1 species
GAGGGUAUAGCUCAAGUGGUAGAGUGCAUGCUUAGCAUGCACGAGGUCCUGGGUUCAAUCCCCAGUACUUCCU